rnacentral:rRNA from 1 species
AGCGGCCACAGGGCUUGACGUUGGACCCUGAGUACCACAGGGCACGAGGAACCCGGUGGGAAGCAGGGGGGACCACCCUCCAAGGCUAAAGACCUUCAGCGACCGAUAGCGGACAGAGUACCGUGAGGGAAAGGUGAAAAGCACCCCGAGAGGGGGAUGAAAGAGUGCCUGAAACCGCGUACGCCAGAAGCAGUCAGAGGCCCAUGCCGUGGCAGGCCGGCGGGCAGUCCCCAGGCGACUGGGGCAGCCCGAGCAGGCGCCACGUGCGGGUUGAUGGCGUGCCUUUUGUAGAAUGAUCCGGCGAGUGCAUCGUCGUUGCCGCAGGUUAACCUCCCUCCAGAGGAGGGGAGCCGUAGGGAAACCGAGUCUGAAGAGGGCGUCGCCUCCAGAUCCUGGAGGCAGGUAGCGGCGAUGGGACCCGAAACCGUGUGAGCUACCCAUGGCCAGAGUGAAGCGGAUGUGACAAUCCGUCGAGGCUCGCACCCACUGGUGUUGCAAAACCAGGGGAGGAGCUGUGGGUAGGGGUGAAAUGCCAAGCGAACACGGAGAUAGCUGGUUCUCCCCGAAAUGCAUGGAGGUGCAGCCCGCCGCGGCAGCGCUGGGAGGUAGAGCGCUGUGUGGGUGCGGGGCCAGGAGCUGGUUACCAAGCUCAUGCAAACUGCGAAUGCCCAGCGCGAGAAGCGGGGCGGCGGAGUGAGUCUGGCGGGGAUAACCUCGUCAGACGAGAGGGGAACAACCCAGACCACCGGCUAAGGUCUCCAAGGGGCUGCUGAGUGGGAAAGGAGGUCAGCUGGCCCAGACAGCCAGGAUGUUGGCUUAGAAGCAGCCAUCAUUGAAAGAGUGCGUAAUAGCUCACUGGUCGAGCGAGCUGGCGCCGACAACAUCAGGAGGCUGAAGCAGCCGACCGAAGCCGUGGAGCCUUGCGAAUGCGAGGCUGGUAGGGGAGCGUUCCGCCAGCGGAGAAGCCGGACCGGAAGGACCGGUGGAGCGGGCGGAAGUGCGAAUGCCGGAAUGAGUAGCGCCAAGGAGGGUGAAAAUCCCUCCCACCGAAAGCCUGAGGGUUCCUGGGCACCGUUGAUCGACCCAGGGUCAGGCGGGCCCUAAGCCGAGGACGGUAGGUCGUAGGCGAUGGAGAGCAGGUAGACAAUCCUGCCCCAGAGGGCGUCGUGAAGAGCGAAGGGGGGACGCGGUAGGGAAGGUGAACCCAUCGAGUGGACAGGAUGGGCUGCCUGUCGGAAGCGAGGCGUCGAGGGAAAGCCCGAUGCCACCAGGCGUGACCGCAGGCACGAGCCUCCGCGAGGAGGCGACAAGUCAUCGACUCCCAGGCCGCCCAGAAAAGCCUCUAGCCAGACGUGCCUCUGCCCGUACCGCAACCCGACACCGGUAGGCAGGGGGGCAAUCCCCCCAGGUGAACGAGUGAGCCUCUGUCAAGGAACUCGGCAACUUGGCCCCGUACCUUCGGAAGAAGGGGCGCCUUCGUAGCUGGCGCAGACCGGAGGGGUGCCCGCAAGGGGACUCGAAGCAGGUCGGCGUUGGUGAGGAGGCCGCAGGAAUAGGCCCAGGCGACUGUUUACCAAAAACACAGGUCCCUGCGAACGCGAAAGCGGACAUAUAGGGGCUGACUCCUGCCCAGUGCCGGAAGGUGAAGCUGGCAGGUGCACGAAGCUUGCCAGGGAAGCCCCGGUGAACGGCGGCCGUAACUCUAACGGUCCUAAGGUAGCGAAAUUCCUUGUCGGGUAAGUUCCGACCCGCACGAAAGGAGGAACGACCUGGGCGCUGUCUCGACAGAGGGCUCGGCGAAAUUGCAGUACCCGUGAAGAUGCGGGUUACCCACGACAGGACAAAAAGACCCCGUGGAGCUUGACUCUAGCCUGGCCUGGUGCCGAGGGCACACCUGCGGAGGAUAGGUGGGAGCCGAAGAAGCCGCCCUUGUGGGGGCGGUGGAGGCGCCGGUGAAAUACCACUCUGGUGUGUUGUCGGGACUCAUGUUGCAGCGGUAGAGCCCGCCAGCAGACAGGGCUAGGUGGGGAGUUUGACUGGGGCGGUCGCCUCCUAAAGGGUAACGGAGGCGCCCAAAGGUUCCCUCAAGGUGGAUGGACAUCACCUGAAGCGUGUACAGGCAGAAGGGAGCUUGACUGCGAGGCCAACAAGCCGAGCAGGGACGAAAGUCGGGCUGAGUGAUCCCACAUGUCCGAGUGGAAGGCGUGUGGCGCAACGGACAAAAGCUACCCCGGGGAUAACAGGCUGAUCCUGCCCAAGAGUUCCCAUCGACGGCAGGGUUUGGCACCUCGAUGUCGGCUCGGCGCAUCCUGGGGCUGGAGUAGGUCCCAAGGGUUGGGCUGUUCGCCCAUGAAAGCGCCACGUGAGCUGGGUUCAGAACGUCGUGAGACAGUUCGGUCUCUAUCCGUCGUGGGCGAGAGGAAGCGUGAGGGGAGUCCGCUCUAGUACGAGAGGACCGAGAGGGCUUGACCGCUGGUGAGCCGGUUGGCCUGCCCAGGCCAGCGCCGGGUAGCUACGUCAGGCGAGGAGAAGCGCUGAAAGCAUCUAAGCGCGAAGCCGACCCCAAGAGUCGCUUCCCCCUCCAGGCUGGCAAGCCAGCCGGAGAUAAGGUCCCAGGCAGAUCACCUGGUCGAUAGACCGGAGGUGGACACCUGGUAACAGGUGCAGCUGACCGGCCCUAAUGACCGAACGGCUUGU